AUGUCUCAUGGUGAGCACCAGCCGAACGACCCCGGUCACCCCCGCGUGGCUCGCCAACAGACAACACACACACACACACACCUACGGUGUACUGGCCCACGGACGCGCCCGUGCACCCCACACCCACGCACACGCUCGACUCGCCACGGACCCGACGCGUCCAACUCGUCCGGCACGCGCCCAUACACGCGCCCGACGGGGAUGAAGCCGAUCGACUACUUAAAAAAUACGGAAACACUAACGCCUACACGUAUGACACUUUUGCAACUCGUCCACACGUGUGAAUCAUCGUCCAGUGCAGUUUGCACGAAUCUUGACACAUUGAGAAAGAAUUUACAUGCCACGUGGGAUAGGCUUGGUGUGUGGGCGUUGGAGAUUCUUGCUGAAGCAGGGCCCGAUGUUAUUGUUUUUGAAACGAUUCCAAAAAAAUUUGAGACACAGGCAUAUGUUGAGUUGCUAGAAGAGUCUAAUUUGUGUAUUCCAGCAUGGUUUGCUUUCCCUUCGAAGGAUGGAACUAAUGUAGUAAGCGGUGAUUCCCUGACGGAAUGUGUUUCUAUUGCAGAUUCAUGCAAGGAGGUUGGCCUAGUUGGUAUCAACUGCACUCCCCCGAGAUUUAUCCAUGCAUUAGUCCUAUCAAUCCAAAAGGUAACGAACAAACCAAUAUUGAUAUAUCCAAAUAGUGGUGAGAGCUAUGAUCCUGUAAGGAAGGAAUGGGUGGCUUGCUCAGGCGUUUCAAAUGAAGAUUUUGUUACACAUGUGAGAAAAUGGCAUGAGGCUGGAGCCUCCCAUAUAGGGGGUUGCUGUAGAACAAGCCCGGACACAGUACUAGGCAUAUCGAAGGCUCUGCAUCUGCAUGGACUAUAA
rnacentral:rRNA from 1 species